AGGGCCACGCCACAUUCAAAACACCGGUUCUCCUCCAAUCACUGAAGUUAAGCAAUGUUGGGAGGGUGACCACCUGGGAACACCGGGUGCUGUAGGCU